AGCUCAUUUCUCUACUGGUGAUAAAUCCGAUAGUAGUGCUUAUCACCGGGAGUAAAUGUGCUCU
rfam:Caenorhabditis brenneri strain PB2801 C_brenneri-6.0.1_Cont34.27, whole genome shotgun sequence.